AUUGAACGCUGGCGGCAGGCCUAACACAUGCAAGUCGAACGCGUGGCGCACGGGUGAGUAAAGUCUGGGGAACAGCCCGUGGGCGGGGGGUAACUAUACGAGACGGGAGCUAAAAUCGCAUAUGCUCGGAUGUGCGCAGAUGGGAUUUGCGUGUAGGUGAGGGAACGGCUCGCCUAGGCGACGAUCCCCAGAUGGUCUGAGAGGAGGACCAGCAAAACUGGAAUUGAGACACGGUCCAGACGCCUACGGGAGGCAGCAGUGGGGAAUAGUGCACAAUGGGCGAAAGCCUGAUGCAGCCAUGCCGCGUGUAUGAAGAAGGCCUUCGGGUUGUAAAGUACUUUCAGCGGGGAGGCGUUACCCGCAGAAGAAGCACCGGCUAACUCCGUGCCAGCAGCCGCGGUAAUUC
rnacentral:rRNA from 1 species